AUUGAACGCUGGCGGCAGGCCUAACACAUGCAAGUCGAGCGAGCGGCGGACGGGUGAGUAAUGUCUGGGAAACUGCCUGAUGGAGGGGGAUAACUACUGGAAACGGUAGCUAAUACCGCAUACCCUCAGAUGUGCCCAGAUGGGAUAAGAUAGUGGGGGGGGUAACGGCUCACCUAGGCGCCGAUCCCUAGCUGGUCUGAGAGGAUGACCAGCCAAACUGGAACGGAGACACGGUCCAGACUCCGACGGGAGGCAGCAGUGGGGAAUAUUGCACAAUGGGCGCAAGCCUGAUGAAGCCAUGCCGCGUGUGUUAAGAAGGCCUUCGGGUUGUAAAGCACUUUCAGCGGGGAGGCGUUACCCGCAGAAGAAGCACCGGCUAACUCCGUGCCAGCAGCCGCGGUAAUAC
rnacentral:rRNA from 1 species